rnacentral:lncRNA from 1 species
CUUCAUGAUUUGAGACCUUUCUGCUGCUCUUGACUAUAGAAUAUCUGCGGAGAAAUGGGGUGAGACUGUUUUAUGAGCGUUAUUGCAAAUAUAGAUUAGCACAGUUAGAAGUGAGAUUCUGUGUCAUCUAGUAGCCAUGCUAGUUCCGCAGUAGAAAGGAGGACAGAAUUACAAGCUGCUCUCUUACUCAUUUCUGCACGUCUUCAUGAGCUGGUGGCAGUGAUGUGGAUGGCAUCUCUUUGUUAAAUACACUUUGUUGGCCUUGUUCCCCUCCAUCUCCCAGGGGAGCCCGAACCAGAUGUCAGUAAAGUUCUCGCAAAUCUAAUAUGGGAUAGCGGCGGUCAGAGGUUGGCUAAGUAUGCCCCCAGUGUCCUCCACCCAGUCACUGACCAAGGCUUGAGAGGACAGGCAAGAAGACUGCUUUUACUCCCAACAUCCAAGAAAAAAGACCCUUUGAGUCACCGCAUGUUUUCAAAAGCUUGCAGUCAGGGUGGACCGCAGCAUUUCUAAGACUGUUUUAGAUGGCCCCUCCGUUCUCUGGUACUUUGGGUUAUGUACCCUUUCUCCCAUCUUCUGUGCAUGUCCUUUUUUUUCCAGGCAAUGCCCUGUGCAUUUUUACUUGGUUUUGU